rnacentral:rRNA from 1 species
AUACGUAGGGAGCGAGCGUUGUCCGGAAUUACUGGGUGUAAAGGGUGCGUAGGCGGGAGUGCAAGUCAGAUGUGAAAUACAUGGGCUCAACCCAUGGGCUGCAUUUGAAACUGCAUUUCUUGAGUGAAGUAGAGGUAAGCGGAAUUCCUGGUGUAGCGGUGAAAUGCGUAGAUAUCAGGAGGAACACCGGUGGUGAAGGCGGCUUACUGGGCUUUUACUGACGCUGAGGCUCGAAAGCGUGGGGAGCAAACAGGAUUAGAUACCCUGGUAGUCCACGCUGUAAACGAUGAUUACUAGGUGUGGGGGGACUGACCCCUUCCGUGCCGCAGUUAACACAAUAAGUAUUCCACCUGGGGAGUACGAUCGCAAGAUUGAAACUCAAAUGAAUUGACGGGG